rnacentral:rRNA from 1 species
CAGCAGGCGCGCAAAUUACCCAAUCCUGACACAGGGAGGUAGUGACAAUAAAUAACGAUACAGGGCCCUUACGGGUCUUGUAAUUGGAAUGAGUACAAUGUAAAUACCUUAACGAGGAACAAUUGGAGGGCAAGUCUGGUGCCAGCAGCCGCGGUAAUUCCAGCUCCAAUAGCGUAUAUUAAAGUUGUUGCAGUUAAAAAGCUCGUAGUUGAACUUUGGGCCUGGUCGGCCGGUCCGGAUUUUUCCGCGUACUGGUUUUUCCGACCGGGCCUUUCCUUCUGGCUAGCCCUGGGUCCUUGUGGCCCUUGGUGAACCAGGACUUUUACUUUGAAAAAAUUAGAGUGUUCAAAGCAGGCGUAUUGCUCGAAUAUAUUAGCAUGGAAUAAUAGAAUAGGACGUUUGGUUCUAUUUUGUUGGUUUCUAGGACCAUCGUAAUGAUUAAUAGGGACGGUCGGGGGCAUCAGUAUUCAGUUGUCAGAGGUGAAAUUCUUGGAUUUACUGAAGACUAACUACUGCGAAAGCAUUUGCCAAGGACGUUUUCAUUAAUCAAGAACGAAAGUUAGGGGAUCGAAGAUGAUCAGAUACCGUCGUAGUCUUAACCAUAAACUAUGCCGACUAGGGAUCGGGUGGUGUUUUUUUACUGACCCACUCGGCACCUUACGAG